AGAAUCAACGCUGGCGGCGUGCCUAACACAUGCAAGUCGAACGAGAAAGUGGAGCAAUCCAUGAGUAAAGUGGCGCACGGGUGAGUAACACGUGACUAACCUACCCUUGAGUGGGGAAUAACUUCGGGAACCGAGGCUAAUACCGCAUAACACCUACGGGUCAAAGGAGCAAUUCGCUUAAAGAGGGGGUCGCGGCAGAUUAGUUAGUUGGCAGGGUAAUGGCCUACCAAGACGGUGAUCUGUAUCCGGCCUGAGAGGGCGCACGGACACACUGGAACUGAAACACGGUCCAGACUCCUACGGGAGGCAGCAGUGGGGAAUUUUGCGCAAUGGGGGAAACCCUGACGCAGCAACGCCGCGUGGAGGAUGAAGUCCCUUGGGACGUAAACUCCUUUCGAUCGGGACGAUUAUGACGGUACCGGAAGAAGAAGCCCGGCUAACUUCGCGCCAGCAGCCGC
rnacentral:rRNA from 1 species